rnacentral:rRNA from 1 species
GGAAUAUUGGACAAUGGGGGCAACCCUGAUCCAGCAAUGCCGCGUGAGUGAUGAAGGCCUUAGGGUUGUAAAGCUCUUUUACCAGGGAUGAUAAUGACAGUACCUGGAGAAUAAGCUCCGGCUAACUCCGUGCCAGCAGCCGCGGUAAUACGGAGGGAGCUAGCGUUGUUCGGAAUUACUGGGCGUAAAGCGCACGUAGGCGGCUUUCUAAGUCAGGGGUGAAAUCCCGGGGCUCAACCCCGGAACUGCCUUUGAAACUGGAAAGCUAGAAUCCUGGAGAGGCGAGUGGAAUUCCGAGUGUAGAGGUGAAAUUCGUAGAUAUUCGGAAGAACACCAGUGGCGAAGGCGACUCGCUGGACAGGUAUUGACGCUGAGGUGCGAAAGCGUGGGGGGCAA